GCCCGGCUAGCCUAAUGGUAAGGCGUUUGACUUCUAAUCUCAUGAAUAGCUAAACAGCUAAAACAUGACAUAUACGAUAUCAAAAGAUUGUGGGUUCGAUCCCCACGUCGGGUG